AGUUGCCUGGCCGAAGGUAUCCUACAUCGUCCGCCGCAGGGUUAAACCCGUCACCAAAAAGCCGCGAGUAGCCAGGGAAUAUUAUCGCCGGAAGAAAUUCGCCGCCGUCGAGCGUUAUCUGGAUUACAUGGAGACACAAACGCGGACGACUGUCAGACGUAGACGUAAAAAUAAGCGUUCGCCACGUCGAUGAACGCCAAGCAAGUCGACGCCACGCCGUUUGACGCCACGCCGUGCCACUCCGCGUAAGACGAUGCCACGUAAAACCACGUACCUUGUCCCACCAGUUUCCACGCCAGUCGAACGCACGGUAGCGCCAAGCAGUGCCCCACAGAAAACCUACACAACAACAAUCUACAUCCCGUCAAAAGGGACUUCAGCACCCCAAACUAAAGAAACUCCGGACAGAUCUUUUCAUAUGGGCUCUGGCAAAGACUCCGACGACCCGGAGAAUGAGUAUGACUAAAAUAUUCAAGAACUGGAACUGUGAAGAAUUUAUAAUAGUCUCAGCUGUGCAAAAACAACAAUCUUUUAACAACGCACCCACAAAUUGACGUUAAGUAUCAAUAACAUCUCUGUUGAUCUCCGCGAUGUCAUCACUGCGUGAUGUUGACAAACAGGCCCUCGUUAUGAAUGGAGGGGUCGCCGUGGUAAUUACAUGAAUGUAAUUAUAAGAGGGCUGCGUCAGUGGGGAAAAUCUGUGCUGCUGUGUGUUUUAGAUUGUAGUUUAGGUUGUGGUUUGUUUACUCUAUCACAUCUCGAGAUAGUUACAGGUUAACAUCUUUUGUACUAUCCAAACUUUCGUCUCGAGGUGAACGUCUCACCCAUCGUAACCUCCUUCCUCAUCAUGUGUCGUCGGAUGUCAGCAUUUCCACCUUAGCUGGCUUUCCCAGUAUCAUGAGGCAGGCAUGUUGUGAAUAAAUUAAAAACAAAGCAAAAAA